AGUGGUGACUUUAGAGGGAGGGUCACACCUAGUUCCAUUUCGAACCUAGCAGUUAAGCCUCCCAUCGCCGAUAAUACUUAUCCUGUCUGGAUUGGGAAUGUAGGUCGUCGCCUCUU
rnacentral:rRNA from 1 species